CCCCACAAAGGACAAAUGCGGCAUACUUUGACUUUUAUGCCCUCUUUCAAAGUCACUUAUCAAAGUACACUUAGGUCUGUGUCAUUAUCAUGCAGUGUAUUCACUGCUGCACUUCCAAAAUACAUUUUUAAAAGAUAGAGUAUAUAUAUAUUUUCAGGGACAGUUAGAGUUAGUUGUAAUGGUGUAAGUCAGUUGUGUGCCGAAACUGUUCAGGUAGGUCUGUAAAAAGAGGGCAAAAAAGUUAACACUUUGACAUUAUGUAACCAAUACUUUAAAUGCCUGCCUCAAUGCCCUCUCCGGUUGAGGGAUGCAUCUGGUGUAUGCAGAUAUCUCCCCCAUCAAUGACAUAGUUACAUAGUUACAUAGCUGAAAGGAGACUUGCGUCCAUCA